GUACUUUGGAUUUUAUGACGCGCAAGGGAGACUGGUGGAAGAAAGCAGCCCAGUCUGCCGAAAAUGCCACAAGAAAAUAUCGGCAAAGGGUGGAAACACGUCCAACAUGCUGGCUCAUCUACGGGACCACCAACUGCAACGAGUUAAAGAGAGGACGUGUAGUGGACAGAACCAGAACAAAUCCUUGAACAGCUUCUACUUCUUCGGUCACAGUGGCACAAACAAUAACCCAGGCGUUUGAAAGGAAGGCUGCUUAUGCACUGACAUCGAAACGUGCCAAAGACCUCACAGCAGCUAUCUCAUAUUUUAUUUACUUUUUUGUUGUACUUCGUUAUUCCUAAUGUUGCUUUCAAGCAAACGGACUACCUCCUGGCUCUUUUAAGGUCCCCUCUUUUAAUUUUUAAGCUUAUUAAUGUUAUUUAAGGUUUAAGUUCAUAUUUUGUUGUUUUUCUAAAAUAAAAACGUUGUUCAUUGA